ACGACCCCUGCCCAGGUGAAGACCCUUCCCCCGCGCAAGCGUAGUAACAGAAGAGAAUGACAUAACCGGUAUUAUAAUUAUAGCCUGAUUUGUCGAGGAUGUUCCUGAUUUAUCGAGGAUGUUCCUGAUUCAUCAAGGAUGUUCCUGAUUUAUCAAGGAUGUUCCUGAUUCAUCGAGGAUGUUCCUGAUAUAUCUCCCUUGAGAUUAGCCGCCGUGCCAGGUAUUUACUUCGAACCUCCCCGACCUUGAAUAGUUAACAAAGCACUGGGCAAAAUAAUUGCACAUUAAUCGAUGACAGCCUCCUGCAAACUUACAUCACCAUCACCGCAGCCAUCGCCCUGAAUUAGGGAACAAAUGGAUAAUUAUCCAGUACAUGUAUCUCCUGUUGGCCACGUAACUGUGAAAACACACCCAAGUUGGAAAACUCCGAACUUACCACAGG